GACGAACGCUGGCGGCGUGCUUAACACAUGCAAGUCGAACGGACAGGCCCUGAUUUUGUUGGUUUCUCGUUUGGCGCACGGGGGAGUAACACGUGUGUAACCUCCCCUUGUCUUUGGGAUAACUUCAGGAAACUGGGGAUCAUACACGAUAUAAGCUCUUGCUCCGCGUGGGGGGUUGGAGAGUUUCGGUGGUUGGGUCUGUUCUCGCGGCUUAUCAGCUUGUUGGUGGGGUAGUGGCUUACCAAGGCUUCGACGGGUAGCAGGCAUGAGAGGGUGACCGGCCACAUUGGGACUGAGAUACGGCCCAGACUCCUACGGGAGGCAGCAGUGGGGAAUAUUGCACAAUGGGCGGAAGCCUGAUGCAGCAACGCCGCGUGCGGGAUGACGGCCUUCGGGUUGUAAACCGCUUUCGCCUGUGACGAAGCGUGAGUGACGGUAAUGGGUAAAGAAGCACCGGCUAACUACGUG
rnacentral:rRNA from 1 species